UCUAAGUGUCAACAUCAGGAAAAAGCUCACUUGAAUGACUCAUGGCUGGAGCACCGACGUUCCCAAACCAACUUGGUUUAGUUUUCUGCCAAGAAGAAUAACAAACGUCGAAAGAAAAGUUUGUAGAGAUCAGAGGAAUGGCGCAUCCUGUGCAGCUGAAGGAAAAAGGAAAACGUUUCCGUUACCACGGAAACCAGGGAAAGGUCAACAGCUAAACUCACUUUUAAAGACUGCGAUAUCUUCAGAGGAGAUACACUCUGAUGUUUUUCCUCUAUAGAUAAAAUUACAGACCACUGCCCAGCCUGGGAUGUGGCUAUCUGCCGAUCAAAAGCCAAUCUAAAAGAGGAGUGCAGUGCGCUUGAGAAAAGGCUGUGAAAAGGGUGUUUUGACUCUUGGCUAUCAUGCGAUUUGGCUGAUUUGGAGCUGAGAAGAUGAGUCGUCUGAUGUGGCCUCUGAGGAUGGAAAAUGUGUCAAGAGGCAAGAAGAUGGAAAUGAGCAGAGGAGAGAAACGAGAACCAGCGAAACGCUGGAA